AGAGUUUGAUCCUGGCUCAGAUUGAACGCUGGCGGCAUGCUUUACACAUGCAAGUCGAACGGCAGCACGAGUGCUUGCACUUGGUGGCGAGUGGCGAACGGGUGAGUAAUACAUCGGAACGUGUCCUGAAGUGGGGGGAUAACGCAUCGAAAGAUGUGCUAAUACCGCAUAUUCUCUAAGGAGGAAAGUAGGGGAUCGAAAGACCUUAUGCUUUUGGAGCGGCCGAUGUCUGAUUAGCUAGUUGGUGAGGUAAAUGCUUACCAAGGCGACGAUCAGUAGUUGGUCUGAGAGGACGACCAGCCACACUGGGACUGAGACACGGCCCAGACUCCUACGGGAGGCAGCAGUGGGGAAUUUUGGACAAUGGGCGCAAGCCUGAUCCAGCAAUGCCGUGUGAGUGAAGAAGGCCUUCGGGUUGUAAAGCUCUUUCAGUCGAGAAGAAAAGGUUGUGAUUAAUACUCACAAUCCAUGACGGUAUCGACAGAAGAAGCACCGGCUAACUACGUGCCAGCAGCCGCGGUAAUACGUAGGGUGCGAGCGUUAAUCGGAAUUACUGGGCGUAAAGGGUGCGCAGGCGGUUCUGUAAGUCAGAUGUGAAAUCCCCGGGCUUAACCUGGGAAUUGCGUUUGAAACUACAGGGCUAGAGUGUAGCAGAGGGGGGUGGAAUUCCUGUGUAGCAGUGAAAUGCGUAGAGAUAUGGAAGAACAUCGAUGGCGAAGGCAGCCCCCUGGGUUAACACUGACGCUCAGGCACGAAAGCGUGGGGAGCAAACAGGAUUAGAUACCCUAGUAGUCC
rnacentral:rRNA from 1 species